rnacentral:rRNA from 1 species
GGAACCUCUUUUGUGAGGGAAGAUAAUGACGGUACCUAACGAAUAAGCAUCGGCUAACUCCGUGCCAGCAGCCGCGGUAAGACGGAGGAUGCAAGCGUUAUCCGGAAUUAUUGGGCGUAAAGCGUACGUAGGCUGUUUAAUAAGUCUGUUGUCAAAGCCCGAGGCUCAACCUUGGAUCGGCAAUGGAAACUGUUAGACUAGAGAGAGAUAGGGGCAGGAGGAAUUCCAGGUGUAGCGGUGAAAUGCGUAGAUAUCUGGAAGAACACCAGUGGCGAAAGCGUCCUGCUGGAUCUCAACUGACGCUGAAGUACGAAAGCUAGGGGAGCGAAUGGGAUUAGAUACCCCUGUAGUCA